AAAGUUCCCCUUCCCAUUGCGAAGGUAAAUAUUUGACCUGCUGUAUGUUGGAAAGUAAUUUUGUUUUGAAACAAGAAAAUCCUUUUAAAAAUACAUUAUCAAUGACUCAUUAUGCUGUAGGUCAUUUAAGCAUAAAGCAUAAGUGUCUAAAACUUAUGUUGGAUCAUUUUAUUAUUCCAUGAUAUCCAAUGGAGUCUGAAUUUGCUAAUUUGGUGCUUCAAAUGUGGGGAAUUUCAUCUUCUAACUGUGUAAAUAAAUAAACACCACCUUUGUUUCUUUCCAAAUUAUUUAUCUGUUAUGAAGUUUUUAUGUGUGUUUGUGAGUCUGUGUUUGUUUCUUAGUAUCAGGUGAUUGCUGGAAUUUUAUUAUUCAAAUUUGGUAAUAUUUAAUUGUACAUGCUGUUUGAAUGCUUUCAGCUGCUAGCAACACCACGAGAAG
rnacentral:misc_RNA from 1 species